GGUGAUUUUUAACCUCCUUGGUACACCCGAUCUCUCGAUCUCGGAAGUUAAGCAAUGCGCGGUCCGGACAGUACUUGGAUGGGGAACAACCAAGGACGUCCGGAUUGCUGUAGCCU
rnacentral:rRNA from 1 species